ensembl:processed_transcript Gm17191 predicted gene 17191
GGAACUUGAAGCAGUGUUACCAAGUUUUCUUACAUGGGGCAUCACAUUGGAUUUCAUCUGUAUUGCACAAAAGGUUACAAUUUCCCACCCAAGUAUGCAAUCUCAUUAGUACUUUGCCUAUGAUGCCUUUCAUAGUGUGUGUGUGUGUGUGUGUGUGUGUGUUUCUGAGUGUCUCACAGUUUCUCCGGUGCUAGGGUCCCUGCCUGCAUUUUUGCGGAAUCAAUUUACCAUAUCAACUGGAAUGCUAAAGCGGGCGGAGACCUUUUACAGAAGUUUUCAGACCUGGCCACACUUGACCACCAUUACUUGGGCGUUUUCGUUUUUACUUUUUAGCAAAAUAUUGAAAUGAAAAUGUUGUUUUCUAGUCUCACCUUUAGAAAUUUGGAUUCAGUGUGGAUCAAACAAUUCUUGAAAC